rnacentral:rRNA from 1 species
UAAACUAGGAUUAGAUACCCUAUUAUUGAAAAUGUAAAUUUAAAAUACUAAAUUAUUAUUAGUUAUGUUCUUGAAAAUUAAAAAAUUUGGCGGUAUUUUAGUCUUUUCAGAGGAACCUGUUCUAUAAUUGAUAGUCCACGAUUAGAAUAACUUUACUUAUUAGUUUACAUAUCGUCGUAGGUAGAAUAUUUUAUUAGAAUAUUAAUAUUCAAGAUUUUUUAUAAAAAAAUAAAUCAGAUCAAGGUGUAAUUUAUAGUGAAGUAGAAAUGGGUUACAAUAAAAUUAUUUAAGGAUAAUUUUUAUUAUAAAAAUUUGAAUUGGAUUUGAGAGUAAUUUUUAAAUUUUUUAAAGAUGAUUAUAGCUCUAAAAUAUGUACACAUCGCCCGUCGCUCUUAA